rnacentral:rRNA from 1 species
AGCAGCCGCGGUAAUUCCAGCUCCAAUAGCGUAUAUUAAAGUUGUUGCAGUUAAAAAGCUUGUAGUUGAAUUUUGGGGUUAGUAGGUUGGUCAUGCCUUUGGUAUGUACUGGUCUCACUGAUUCCUCCUUCCUGAUGAACCUUAAUGCCAUUAAUUUGGUGUUUUGGGGAAUUUGGACUGUUACUUUGAAAAAAUUAGAGUGUUUAAAGCAAGCUAACGCUUGAAUACAUUAGCAUGGAAUAAUGAAAUAGGACGUUCGAUCCUAUUUUGUUGGUUUCUAGGAUUGACGUAAUGAUUAAUAGGGAUAGUUGGGGGCAUUAGUAUUCAAUUGUCAGAGGUGAAAUUCUUGGAUUUAUUGAAGACUAACUACUGCGAAAGCAUUUGCCAAGGAUGUUUUCAUUAAUCAAGAACGAAAGUUAGGGGAUCGAAGACGAUCAGAUACCGUCGUAGUCUUAACCAUAAACUAUGCCGACUAGGGAUCGGAUGAUGUUAAUUUUUUAAUGACUCAUUCGGCGCCUUACG